UACGUAGGUGGCAAGCGUUGUCCGGAUUUAUUGGGUUUAAAGGGUGCGUAGGCUGCAUUUUAAGUCAGUGGUGAAAUACUUCAGCUUAACUGGAGAGGUGCCAUUGAUACUGGGAUGCUUGAGUACUGAUGAGGUAGGCGGAAUGGACGGUGUAGCGGUGAAAUGCUUAGAUAUCGUCCAGAACACCGAUAGCGAAGGCAGCUUACUAAGGAGUAACUGACGCUGAGGCACGAAAGUGUGGGGAUCAAACAGG
rnacentral:rRNA from 1 species